GAUCGGGUCUUUGAUUUGUUUGAUACAAAACAUAAUGGGAUCCUAGGAUUUGAAGAGUUUGCUCGUGCCCUCUCUGUUUUUCAUCCAAAUGCCCCCAUUGAUGAUAAGAUUGAAUUUUCUUUUCAAUUGUAUGAUCUCAAACAGCAAGGUUUUAUUGAGAGACAGGAGGUGAAACAAAUGGUAGUUGCUACUCUAGCUGAAUCUGGUAUGAACCUUUCAGAUGA
rnacentral:misc_RNA from 1 species